rnacentral:rRNA from 1 species
UAACGCGUGAGUAACCUGCCCUGGAGUGGGGGACAACAGUUGGAAGCGACUGCUAAUACCGCAUAAGCCCACGGCCCGGCAUCGGGCUGAGGGAAAAGGAUUUAUUCGCUUCAGGAUGGACUCGCGUCCAAUUAGCUAGUUGGUGAGGUAACGGCCCACCAAGGCGACGAUUGGUAGCCGGACUGAGAGGUUGAACGGCCACAUUGGGACUGAGACACGGCCCAGACUCCUACGGGAGGCAGCAGUGGGGGAUAUUGCACAAUGGGGGAAACCCUGAUGCAGCGACGCCGCGUGGAGGAAGAAGGUUUUCGGAUUGUAAACUCCUGUCGUUAGGGACGAUAAUGACGGUACCUAACAAGAAAGCACCGGCUAACUACGUGCCAGCAGCCGCGGUAAAACGUAGGGUGCAAGCGUUGUCCGGAAUUACUGGGUGUAAAGGGAGCGCAGGCGGACCGGCAAGUUGGAAGUGAAAACUAUGGGCUCAACCCAUAAAUUGCUUUCAAAACUGCUGGCCUUGAGUAGUGC